UACGUAGGGUGCAAGCGUUGUCCGGAAUUAUUGGGCGUAAAGAGCUCGUAGGCGGUUUGUCGCGUCGAAUGUGAAAACCCGGGGCUCAACCCCGGGCCUGCAUUCGAUACGGGCAGACUAGAGUUCGGUAGGGGAGUCUGGAAUUCCUGGUGUAGCGGUGAAAUGCGCAGAUAUCAGGAGGAACACCGGUGGCGAAGGCGGUUCUCUGGGCCGACAUUGACGCUGAGGAGCGAAAGCGUGGGGAGCGAACAGG
rnacentral:rRNA from 1 species